rnacentral:misc_RNA from 1 species
GAGAAUGACUGCUUACUGGAAGAUUGUAUUGAGGAGAUUGGUUGAUUCUAUGGCUCUGCAUUUGCAGUUCAGUGUUCAAAAUCUUGUGAACAAGGAGAUGGAAAAGGAGAUCAUUAGCGAGUUGAUGAGUAAUCAAGGAGGUGUAAUAGAAAGAAUGAUGGAGGAAUCGCCCUCAAUUGCUGCUAAACGUGAGAAGCUGAACAAGAGCAUCAAGUUGCUUGGAGAGUCCAAGAAGGUCUUAGGAAAUAUCAUGGACAAAAUUGCUACAUAUAGUGAUUAGAGUAGGGUCACUCUUUAUCCUUCUUUUGUGUGUUCUUAGUUUAUUAGUAUUUAAAAGUGUUUGUAUUUUGUUUUAGGGGAAGGGUUUGAGCAUUUAACCCCAUGACUCCAUAUAAGGUAUUUCCUUGUGCUUUUGUAUGAUUACUUACUAUAUAUGAAGAGGCCAACAUCUUCA